rnacentral:rRNA from 1 species
GAUAAACGCUAGCGGCAGGCUUAACACAUGCAAGUCGAGGGGCAGCAUAGAUUGUAGCAAUACAAUUGGUGGCGACCGGCGCACCGGUGCGUAACGCGUAUGCAACCUACCCGUCACAGGGGGAUAAUCCGGAGAAAUCUGGUCUAAUACCCCAUAACAUAUGGAUCGGCAUCGGUUCAUGUUGAAAUUUUCGGAGGUGACAGAUGGGCAUGCGUAGCAUUAGCUUGUUGGUGAGGUAACGGCUCACCAAGGCGACGAUGCUUAGGGGGACUGAGAGGUUUUCCCCCCACACUGGUACUGAGACACGGACCAGACUCCUACGGGAGGCAGCAGUGAGGAGUAUUGGUCAAUGGGCGCAAGCCUGAACCAGCCAUGCCGCGUGCAGGAUGACGGCUCUAUGAGUUGUAAACUGCUUUUGUACGAGGGUAAAGUGGGUUACGUGUAACCUUUUGAAAGUAUCGUACGAAUAAGGAUCGGCUAACUCCGUGCCAGCCGCCGCAGUAA